CCCGCGGCCUAUCAGCUUGUUGGUGGGGUAAUGGCCUACAAGGCGACGACGGUAGCCGGCCUGAGAGGGUGUCCGGCCACACUGGGACUGAGAUACGGCCCAGACUCCUACGGGGAGGCAGCAGUGGGGAAUAUUGCACAAUGGGCGCAAGCCUGAUGCAGCGACGCCGCGUGAGGGAUGACGGCCUUCGGGUUGUAAACCUCUUUCAAUAGGGACGAAGCGCAAGUGACGGUACCUAUAGAAGAAGCACCGGCCAACUACGUG
rnacentral:rRNA from 1 species